UACGUAGGUGGCAAGCGUUGUCCGGAUUUAUUGGGUUUAAAGGGUGCGUAGGCGGCCUUGUAAGUCAGUGCUGAAAUACCCCGGCUUAACCGGGGGGGUGGCAUUGAUACUGCAGGGCUUGAGUACAGAUGAGGUAGGCGGAAUUGACGGUGUAGCGGUGAAAUGCAUAGAUAUCGUCAAGAACACCGAUAGCGAAGGCAGCUUACUGGGCUGUAACUGACGCUGAUGCACGAAAGCGUGGGGAGCAAACAGG
rnacentral:rRNA from 1 species